rnacentral:misc_RNA from 1 species
GAUGAAGAACGUAGCGAAAUGCGAUACGUAAUGUGAAUUGCAGAAUUCAGUGAAUCAUCGAAUCUUUGAACGCAUAUUGCGCUCUCUGGUAUUCCGGAGAGCAUGCUUGUUUGAGUAUCAGUAAACACCUCAACUUCCAUAUCUUUUUUGAAAUGGGAGUUGGACUUGAGUGAUCCCAACGCUUUUCCUCACCGAAAAGUGGCGGGUUACUUGAAAUGCAGGUGCAGCUAGACUUUUCUCUGAGCUAUAAGCAUAUCUAUUUAGUCUGCCUAAAAAACAGAUUAUUACCUUUGCUGCAGCUAACAUAAAGGAGAUUAGUUCUUGUGCUGACUGAUGCAGGAUUCACAAAGACGGCUUCGGCCGACUUUGUAAACUCGAUCUCAAAUCAAGUAAGACUACCCGCUGAACUUAAGCAUAUCAAUAAGCGGAGGA